rnacentral:rRNA from 1 species
AGAUUGAACGCUGGCGGCAUGCCUUACACAUGCAAGUCGAACGGCAGCACGGGAGCAAUCCUGGUGGCGAGUGGCGAACGGGUGAGUAAUAUAUCGGAACGUGCCCAAUCGUGGGGGAUAACGCAGCGAAAGCUGUGCUAAUACCGCAUACGAUCUACGGAUGAAAGCGGGGGACUCAGCAAUGGGCCUCGCGCGAAUGGAGCGGCCGAUAUCAGAUUAGCUAGUUGGUGGGGUAAAGGCUCACCAAGGCGACGAUCUGUAGCUGGUCUGAGAGGAUGAUCCGCCACACUGGGACUGAGACACGGCCCAGACUCCUACGGGAGGCAGCAGUGGGGAAUUUUGGACAAUGGGCGAAAGCCUGAUCCAGCCAUGCCGCGUGAGUGAAGAAGGCCUUCGGGUUGUAAAGCUCUUUCGGCUGGGAAGAAAUCGCACAGGCUAAUACUCUGUGUGGAUGACGGUACCAGCACAAGAAGCACCGGCUAACUACGUGCCAGCAGCCGCGGUAAUA